rnacentral:rRNA from 1 species
GAUGAACGCUAGCGGCAGGCUUAAUACAUGCAAGUCGAACGGCAAGUUUGGUAGCAAUAUCGAACCUAGAGUGACGUACGGGUGCGUAACACGUAUGCAACCUACCCUUUACAGGAGGAUAGCUCGGGGAAACUCGAAUUAACCCUCCAUAAUAUCAUUGGAUGGCAUCAUUUGAUGAUUAAAACUCAGGUGGUAAAGGAUGGGCAUGCGUCUGAUUAGUUAGUUGGCGGGGUAAUGGCCCACCAAGACGAUGAUCAGUAGGGGACCUGAGAGGGUGAUCCCCCACACUGGCACUGAGAUACGGGCCAGACUCCUACGGGUGGCAG